GGCGUGGUGCCCAAGUUGGUCUAAGGGAGUGGUUUGCAAAACCAUCAUUCGCCGGUUCGAAUCCGACCCACGCCU
rnacentral:tRNA from 2 species